GCGGGUAUCGUAUAAUGGCUAUUACAUUACCUUGCCAUGGUAGAGAUACGGGUUCGAUUCCCGUUACCCGCU
rnacentral:tRNA from 1 species